rnacentral:rRNA from 1 species
CCUACGGGAGGCAGCAGUGGGGGAUAUUGCACAAUGGGGGGAACCCUGAUGCAGCGACGCCGCGUGGGUGAAGGAGUGCUUCGGCAUGUAAAGCCCUAUCGGCAGGGAAGAAGCAAGACGGUACCUGACUAAGAAGCCCCGGCUAACUACGUUCCAGCAGCCGCGGUAAUACGUAGGGGGCGAGCGUUAUCCGGAUUCACUGGGUGUAAAGGGAGCGUAGACGGGCAUGCAAGCCAGGGGUGAAAGCCCGGGGCCCAACCCCGGGACUGCCCGCGGAACUGUGCGGCUAGAGUGCGGGAGGGGCAGGCGGAAUUCCUGGUGUAGCGGUGAAAUGCGUAGAUAUCAGGAGGAACACCGGCGGCGAAGGCGGCCUGCUGGACUGCGACUGACGUUGAGGCUCGAAAGCGUGGGGAGCGAACAGGAUUAGAUACCCUAGUAGUC